rnacentral:rRNA from 1 species
GACGAACGCUGGCGGCGUGCUUAACGCAUGCAAGUCGAACGGAAAGGCCCUGCUUUUGUGGGGUGCUCGAGUGGCGAACGGGUGAGUAACACGUGAGUAACCUGCCCUUGACUUUGGGAUAACUUCAGGAAACUGGGGCUAAUACCGGAUAGGAGCUCCUGCUGCAUGGUGGGGGUUGGAAAGUUUCGGCGGUUGGGGAUGGACUCGCGGCUUAUCAGCUUGUUGGUGGGGUAGUGGCUUACCAAGGCUUUGACGGGUAGCCGGCCUGAGAGGGUGACCGGCCACAUUGGGACUGAGAUACGGCCCAGACUCCUACGGGAGGCAGCAGUGGGGAAUAUUGCACAAUGGGCGGAAGCCUGAUGCAGCAACGCCGCGUGCGGGAUGACGGCCUUCGGGCUGUAAACCGCUUUCGCCUGUGACGAAGCGUGAGUGACGGUAAUGGGGAAAGAAGCACCGGCUAACUACGU